rnacentral:rRNA from 1 species
UUGACCUCAGGAUCAGGUAGGGAUACCCGCGAACUA